UACGUAGGUGGCAAGCGUUGUCCGGAAUUAUUGGGCGUAAAGGGCGUGCAGGCGGUUUGUUAAGUGCAGGGUGAAAGCUCCCGGCUCAACUGGGAGAGGUCCUUGCAUACUGGCGAACUCGAGGGAGGCAGAGGAAAGUGGAAUUCCCGGUGUAGUGGUGAUAUGCGUAGAUAUCGGGAGGAACACCUGUGGCGAAGGCGGCUUUCUGGGCCUUACCUGACGCUGAGACGCGAAAGCGUGGGGAGCGAUCCGG
rnacentral:rRNA from 1 species